rnacentral:lncRNA from 1 species
UUGACAUCUCUGCUUGCCACCCAGCAACACCAUUUCGAGCAAGCUAAUAGUUGCAAUGCAGAGGUUACAACUAUCAAGGCUGCCUCUGAUGAAGCUCUUGAGCAACUUGUGACUUGUGAGAACAAUAUUGCUCAAUGGCAAUCUGAAAUCGAAGCGCUAAAGGCAAAGAUUCGACAAGAGGAGGCUAAGACGGAAAAGCUAGCUGCAGUGGCUAUUGAAGCACAAAAGGUUAAGCUUGAUGAGCUAGCACGUGAAGGUAUCCAACACUACAGUGAUGGUCUAGCUGUCCAGAAGCG